UUUUGGAAGUAAAAAGCGUAACAAGGUUUCCGUAGGUGAACCUUCGGAAGGAUCAUUA
rnacentral:rRNA from 1 species